UUAUUUAAGCUCCAUAAUACAAAAAAAAAAAAAAAAAAAAAUUACAGAAUUUUUGGAAGCUGACAGUAUUGUCUUUUUCAUCGGUACCUCUGGCUGCAGUUCUCUACUGUUUCCAUAUCUAUUGCGUUCAGAAGUACCUGUUUCACUUUGAAAACUGUUAUCUAUGAUUCCUUGGUCAAUAAGCUUUCAAAAGCACCUGAUUCACUUUGAAAAGUUGUUGGUUUUUCAUCGGUAUCUCUGGUUGCAGUUCUCUACUGUUUCCAUAUCUAUUGCGUUCAGAAGUACCUGUUUCACUUUGAAAAGCUGUUAUCUAUGAUUCCUUGGUCAAUAAGUGUUCAAAAGCACCUGAUUCACUUUGAAAAGUUGUUGGUCAAUACGAGAAUCGUAGUCUACAUUGAAAAUUUUAGAUCAGUUGUACAUUGAAAUUAGUAGUAGAAAGUUGAUCAAUGAAGAGCUUUGGUUGAUUAGUGAUUUGUUUUCUGCAAAUUAUCAAGUUAUGCCUUAUAAACUCAUACUGAUGUACGACUAAUGAAGAGUUUCAAUUCGUAUAUUGAGUUAAACUUUCAAUUGUGCAAUAUGUGCUUCUUUACUGGUGCUUAGUGACU
rnacentral:lncRNA from 1 species